UAAACACAGUCACAGAUUGGGACCUGUUGCAUCCAGAAGACGAGAAAACAGGAAGAAGAACAGUUUUAAGAGAAAAAAUGUGGUGGAUAUUUUCAGCAAUAUCAAAGCAAGUGAAGAAACACCCGGGGCUGGUGCCACUUAUUGGCUUUACAGGACUGGGAAUAACGAAUGCCACUAUAUACCUGGUAAAGCUCACGCUUUUUAACCCAGACAUAAGUUGGGUGAAAAAGAAGGAGCCAGAGCCAUGGUAUAAAUGAGGUCCGGACCUCUAGAGAAGAGGUUAACGCCAAAGGAUGUUUCAAUAAUGAAACCGGACCUGAAAAUAUUUCCAGUCUUUGGACGAAUUAAGCCUUUCUAUCACAGCACAGGAUAUUAAUAUUAACCAUGUUAUCAUAAACACUAACUAGUCACCUACAUAUUAUAUGCAAACGGUUAUUUUUCUGCUUUUCUUCUCUGAUAAAUGUGUUCCCUUGGACAGUCCAGCUGCUAAUCAUGUAUUGCAUUUAUAUGCCAAUGUAACAUGAAGGAUAAUUAUGUCCCAUAAAGCCCGGGA